UAGGGAAUCUUCGGCAAUGGACGAAAGUCUGACCGAGCAACGCCGCGCGAGUGAAGAAGGUUUUCGGAUCGUAAAACUCUGUUGUUAGAGAAGAACAAGGACGUUAGUAACUGAACGUCCCCUGACGGUAUCUAACCAGAAAGCCACGGCUAACUACGUGCCAGCAGCCGCGGUAAUACGUAGGUGGCAAGCGUUGUCCGGAUUUAUUGGUCGUAAAGCGAGCGCAGGCGGUUUCUUAAGUCUGAUGUGAAAGCCCCCGGCUCAACCGGGGAGGGUCAUUGGAAACUGGGGGGCUUGAGUGCAGAAGAGGAGAGUGGAAUUCCAUGUGUAGCGGUGAAAUGCGUAGAUAUAUGGAAGAACACCAGUGGCGAAGGCGGCUCUCUGGUCUGUAACUGACGCUGAGGCUCGAAAGCGUGGGGAGCAAACAGG
rnacentral:rRNA from 1 species